UGACCCGGAGCAAAUCCCAACAAACCGGUCUCAGUUCGGAUUGUAGUCUGCAACUCGACUACAUGAAGUCGGAAUCGCUAGUAAUCGCAGGUCAGCAUACCGCGGUGAAUACGUUCCCGGGCCUU
rnacentral:rRNA from 1 species